GUGGGGAAUAUUGGACAAUGGGCGAAAGCCUGAUCCAGCCAUGCCGCGUGUGUGAAGAAGGUCUUCGGAUUGUAAAGCACUUUAAGUUGGGAGGAAGAGCAUUAACCUAAUACGUUAGUGUUUUGACGUUACCAACAGAAUAAGCACCGGCUAACUUCGUGCCAGCAGCCGCGGUAAUACGAAGGGUGCAAGCGUUAAUCGGAAUUACUGGGCGUAAAGCGCGCGUAGGUGGUUCAGCAAGUUGGAGGUGAAAUCCCCGGGCUCAACCUGGGAACUGCCUCCAAAACUACUGAGCUAGAGUACGGUAGAGGGUAGUGGAAUUUCCUGUGUAGCGGUGAAAUGCGUAGAUAUAGGAAGGAACACCAGUGGCGAAGGCGACUACCUGGACUGAUACUGACACUGAGGUGCGAAAGCGUGGGGAGCAAACAGGAUUAGAAACCCUUGUAGUCC
rnacentral:rRNA from 1 species